AGCCAUGGCGGGUGCUAUACAUGCAAGUCGAGCGGACCGACGGGAGCUUGCUCCCUUAGGUCAGCGGCGGACGGGUGAGUAACACGUGGGUAACCUGCCUGUAAGACUGGGAUAACUCCGGGAAACCGGGGCUAAUACCGGAUGCUUGAUUGAACCGCAUGGUUCCAUCCUUAAAGGGGGCUUUUAACUACCCCUUACCGAUGGACCCCCGGCGCAUUAACUAAUUGGGGAGGGAACGGCUCCCCCAGGGGACGAUGCGUAACCCACCUGAAAAGGUGAUCGGCCCCCCUGGGACUGAAACCCGGCCCCAAAUCCUACGGGAGGGAACAGUAAGGAAUCUUCCCCAAUGGACGAAAGUCUGACGGAACAACGCCGCGUGAGUGAUGAAGGGUUUCCGAUCGUAAAACUCUGGUGGUAGGGAAAAACAAGUACCGGUCGAAUAAGGCGGUACCUUGACGGGACCUAACCCAAAAGCCCCGGGUAACUACCUGCCAGCAGCCGCGGUAAUACCUAAGUGGCAAGCGUUGUCCGGAAUUAUUGGGCGUAAAGCGCGCGCAGGCGGGUUCUUAAGUCUGAUGUGAAAGCCCCCGGCUCA
rnacentral:rRNA from 1 species